GAAGAAGGUAAUAUCCUGACCCAGAAUCUAGAAGGAAGACUACAGAAGCGCUUUCACAGCUGGAAAUGCAAGUCCCUUUGUUCAUUUGCAGAGCAAAGUCUUAGUAUUGGCAUCGAGAACCGUAGUGGCUGUCCCUGGUCCUCCUCUACAGACAGAGCCAUCCUCAGUUCUACUCUGACUCAUUUCACUGGGAUUUCUUUUGAAAUAAACCAUUAACUUAAGGAGUGUUUGAAAGAUCGGACCCAUGAGAACUUGCUGUUUGUCACAGAUGGGCAGAAUGGUGAGAAAACUCAUGGGGAGGGAGAGCCAUUGUUGAACAUGGACUACUCCUUGCACAGCCAUUUAGAGGUUCAUGCAAAAUAACAAGUGCAACCAGCCGUAGCAGUAAUGGAAUACUGCCAAAACCGUGCUAUCAGAAUGCAGCCCAGCCCAGAAGAGAACUGAAACAGCUCCUUGAUUCCUGUUGGAAACCCUGGAAGUCAGAAUCAAGCACUCACUGUGAGGGAACUUCUCUUGUGGAAUUUGCUGACUCUUUCUGGACACCACUGAGCAAUCCUAGGGCAUGGUGAUCUCUACUGUGCGGGGGCUGAGGAGGAAAGUGACCCACCCUCACUGUGUCACCCCCCAUGUGUCACAUUCCCACACGAAGGCCUGGCAGACUUGCAUCUGAAACACUGAAGGGCCGCUCUGACUGAAUUAGAAAUCUCUGCUAACUUGGUUGCCUCCUUCUUAGGUGUGUUGUAAAUGUUUCCAAACAAAUAUCCAUGUCUUCCAGUCUCUUACAGAGCGCACAGAAUAGAAUCAUAGAAGAGAUUGCUUUUAAUUUUUGUAACUAUAUUUCAUUUCUGUCUGAAUAAAAAUAAACUUAUUUCUGUUUAGGCA
rnacentral:lncRNA from 14 species